rnacentral:rRNA from 1 species
UUCGCCCUUAGAGUUUGAUCCUGGCUCAGGACGAACGCUGGCGGCGCGCCUAACACAUGCAAGUCGAACGAGCGAGAGAGAGCUUGCUUUCUCGAGCGAGUGGCGAACGGGUGAGUAACGCGUGAGGAACCUGCCUCAAAGAGGGGGACAACAGUUGGAAACGACUGCUAAUACCGCAUAAGCCCACGGGUCGACAUCGACCAGAGGGAAAAGGAGCAAUCCGCUUUGAGAUGGCCUCGCGUCCGAUUAGCUGGUUGGUGAGGUAACGGCCCACCAAGGCGACGAUUGGUAGCCGGACUGAGAGGUUGAACGGCCACAUUGGGACUGAGACACGGCCCAGACUCCUACGGGAGGCAGCAGUGGGGGAUAUUGCACAAUGGGGGAAACCCUGAUGCAGCGACGCCGCGUGGAGGAAGAAGGUUUUCGGAUUGUAAACUCCUGUCGUUAGGGACGAUAAUGACGGUACCUAACAAGAAAGCACCGGCUAACUACGUGCCAGCAGCCGCGGUAAAACGUAGGGUGCAAGCGUUGUCCGGAAUUACUGGGUGUAAAGGGAGCGCAGGCGGACCGGCAAGUUGGAAGUGAAAACUAUGGGCUCAACCCAUAAAUUGCUUUCAAAACUGCUGGCCUUGAGUAGUGCAGAGGUAGGUGGAAUUCCCGGUGUAGCGGUGGAAUGCGUAGAUAUCGGGAGGAACACCAGUGGCGAAGGCGACCUACUGGGCACCAACUGACGCUGAGGCUCGAAAGCAUGGGUAGCAAACAGGAUUAGAUACCCUGGUAGUCCAUGCCGUAAACGAUGAUUACUAGGUGUUGGAGGAUUGACCCCUUCAGUGCCGCAGUUAACACAAUAAGUAAUCCACCUGGGGAGUACGACCGCAAGGUUGAAACUCAAAGGAAUUGACGGGGGCCCGCACAAGCAGUGGAGUAUGUGGUUUAAUUCGAAGCAACGCGAAGAACCUUACCAGGUCUUGACAUCCGAUGCAUAGCGCAGAGAUGCGUGAAGUCCUUCGGGACAUCGAGACAGGUGGUGCAUGGUUGUCGUCAGCUCGUGUCGUGAGAUGUUGGGUUAAGUCCCGCAACGAGCGCAACCCUUAUUGCCAGUUACUACGAAAGAGGACUCUGGCGAGACUGCCGUUGACAAAACGGAGGAAGGUGGGGAUGACGUCAAAUCAUCAUGCCCUUUAUGAUCUGGGCUACACACGUGCUACAAUGGCGUAAACAAAGGGAGGCAAAGCCGCGAGGUGGAGCAAAUCCCAAAAAUAACGUCUCAGUUCGGACUGCAGUCUGCAACUCGACUGCACGAAGCUGGAAUCGCUAGUAAUCGCGAAUCAGAAUGUCGCGGUGAAUACGUUCCCGGGUCUUGCACACACCGCCCGUCA